UACGUAGGUGGCAAGCGUUGUCCGGAAUUAUUGGGCGUAAAGUGCGCGCAGGCGGUUCUUUAAGUCUGAUGUGAAAGCCCACGGCUCAACCGUGGAGGGUCAUUGGAAACUGGGGGACUUGAGUACAGAAGAGAAGAGUGGAAUUCCACGUGUAGCGGUGAAAUGCGUAGAGAUGUGGAGGAACACCAGUGGCGAAGGCGACUCUUUGGUCUGUAACUGACGCUGAGGCGCGAAAGCGUGGGGAGCAAACAGG
rnacentral:rRNA from 1 species